rnacentral:lncRNA from 15 species
CCCUCUGCUUCUAAUCCAGAUGAACCAAGUUGGUGGAAGGGACCACUGCAGCUGCUGUGCUGACCACUGGAGCUGUGUUGCCAAGUACAUUAGAGCAUGUCCCACAGGAACUGUGAAGAAAAAAAGUACCAAAUCAGCCAUGACUAGGGCAGCCUCUAAUGCUUGUGGGGCUGCUACACACUCCUGUGCCGUAGGUGGCGACGUGCACCCGGUGGUUGUUUGUGAUCCGCCAGUAAAUCCAGAGAAGAAGAAGAGCCAGGUAUUUCCUGCAUGAGAGAAGGUGUGCCAGCGAGUCGUGGGACGUGGACGCCGCCACAGAAGGACUUCAGUCUGUCCAGGCGUCACUUCCAGAGACAGUGAGUGAAUUAUUAGUAUUAAUAUGUGAUUUUUUUUCUACAUUAUUGAAAAACUUUAUUGGAUUGUGCUGCAUAAUGUCUCAUCUUGUCUGUACUAAUCACUCUCUCUCUCUCUCUCUCUUUCUCUCUCUCUCUCUCUCAGGUCCUGGUUUCUGGAUCCCCCCUCCCUUCCACAAUGAAGUCUUCUUUGUGGAGGGGAGGGGCCACCCGAUUGUUGUGAUGUGUGUUGCCAGUGUAAACGCUCAAUAAAAUUAUUUUAAAAUCCAUAACCCCCUGCUUCCAUCUCUCCGGGAGGGGACACGGCCCCCUCCUCUCCCUCUGCAGCGGGGUGAGACUCCAGGAACCCAGCACCCAAAGUGCUGCCAGUAGUUUUUAAUUCAGAUUCAGAUUAUCUGAUUAGUUGUUUUUGUUUGUCCAUCACCUUAGAGUUUUCAAAUACCUACAAUCCUACCUGGAAUCCAAACCACUGCUGUGUGUGGGCAAGGAUUCAGUGACAAAUGGUUGAGUCUGACCACUGCAGUUGCUGCGUAUGCCACUAGGGGAGCUCUGACGUCAUCAAUUUCUUGCCAAAAAGGCACCUGUGGCGGCGUCUGCCAACCUCUCUUCACACUGGGACACGGAAAGCUUAAAACAUUUGAGCAAAAUUCCAGCCGCUCGUGGCUCUGUGUUCGAUAACCCCCUGCUUUGAUCUCUCUUGAGCUUCGGGAGGGGACAAGGCCCCCUCCCUCACCCACUGCCAUGGGAUCGAUAGUCCAGGAACCGGCCGGGUGGUAUUCGAACCAGCGGUUCCUCCACUGGCUGACCCUACAGUCACAAGACGAAGCCACCACGCCACCGAGCCCCCUUCGCACUAGAACCUGCUCUCUGGGCGCUUUUAUUUCUUCACUUUGGGGCACUGGACUUUAAAAUUCACUGAGCUCUCAUAAGGGAAUCAAACCCAUGUCGUCAGAAGGGUCAAUUAGCCUACUAACACACUGCACUAUGUGUUCACAGACAUUUCUUCCUUGUUUCUUAGAGGCUUUCAGUCUUCUUCUUCUUCUCGGUGUUGAAUUUCAAAAGUCACAAUGUCAAAGGUUUGAACCCACAACCUCUGAACUUGCUUCCAUCUUACACAUUGAGCUAUAGGACCAUCCUUUAACAGCACUGAGCUACAACUCAGGUUGGGAAUUUGCUGCUUCGUAGUUGUAUUUAUUGUUCACAUCACUGAGGAGAAACCUUUAAAAAUCACCAAAUGCAAGAGCUUGGAUUUGAACCCUCAACCUCAGGUAUCAACCACAUCAGCUACUGAUCUUACUGAGCUAUUCCUGCUGAUUGGAUUCUUUUUGUUAAUUCUUUCAUUUACUUUUACUACAUUUAAUUUAGGUUUUACACUGGACAGACAACCCUGGGGUUAUAUGAACUAUAAUGGAGAUCAGGUACAACACAUCUUCUUUGCUGCGGUGUCUUUAUCUUUUUUAUCUUUUCUACCAAUGUACCUGGCUGCUAUGACGACCCAAUUUCAAGAAUUAAUAAAGUCUAUCGUUCCUGCACAUUCAUGGAGGUCACAGGUAUUAGUGCUUUGAAAGAAAAAAACUCACCUGUGCAAAUAGCUCAGUGAGAUAAGUAGCUUAUAUUGAUACCUGAGUUGGAAGGUUCAAGUCCCAGACAACUUCUUAUGAGAUCUUUAAGCGUUUACUUCAGCAACGUGAAUAAUAAAUAUAACAAUGAACUCGUGAUUGUAACUCUCAGGUGUAACUCACUGAGAUAAGGUGCUGCUACCUGAUGAUCUAGAGUGGAGGGAUCAAACUUAGUUUAUUUACAAAAAAAAAUUUAAAAAAACUUUAUUUACUAAUUAUUUGUUAUUGUUUUUCUUCUUUCAGAGUCAAAAUCUGUUUUUGUUUUUUGGGGGAAAAUAAACUUUGUUCAGAGGAUUGACUGUUUGACUGUUUCUGGCUUUUCCCCAACAUGCAACACUUUGAGCUGACACUAAUGCUUUAACUGAGAACUUUAUUUCUACAAGAAUAAUCUGUCUGUUUUCUGUCAGAGUAACUUCCCCAGGUGUCGGACCGCGUCCUCCUGCAACCCUCGAACGCAAUAAAUCAUCAGAACUUUGAGUUGUGUUCAUUUAAUCCACGGUGCACACAUUGAAACCAACCUCGGGAGAGAACAGAGAGUUAUGGAUUUGGAUUUUGGUUUCUGAAGGUGACAUUGAGGUCUGCGACUGGUCGACUCCUAUUCAUUCACUUUACUUAUCUAACACUAAAUGACAUAUUUGGACUUUUAAUACUAAAACCAGAUAUAGUUGUACUGAUGUUUACGUCAACAGUAAGACUGUAUAUGUACUAUAGGACAACAACAUUAAUACAUUCUUUCAUUUUGUGGUUAAUUCAGAUGAAUUCCUUUUUAUUCUAAAGUAAAACGUUAUUACCAAUAUGUUUAUAUGCAAAGAUACAUGUUAAUAAUUUAGUGAGUGCCCUCCAGUAUUUAUUUUGGAUAUAAUAAUAAUUAAUAAUUCGUAAAGUUUUUCAACCUUUUAUUCCAGGGUUUUCUAUUCAUAUAUAUAUAUAUAUAUAUAUAUAUAUAUAUAUAUAUAUAUACACUUAAGUAGCUGGAAGACAUGUUUUUUAUUACUUUAUAUUUUAUCCUUAUUAUUUUAACCUUAUUCUGCUGUGUUGUACCAAAUGUAAAAAUUAAAGAAGUUCAAUAACUUAUUGUUGAUUACUGAUAAACGUUCACAUAUAACUCAUAACUCUUGACAAGAAAGCAAGUGGAGUCUUUUUAGUAUUUUUUUAUUUUUCAUUUUGGAUCUCUGAAAGAAAAAUAAAGACUUUUUUUUAAAUCUGUCUCGCUCAUGAAUGGUUACUAGUACUGAUAUGAAUGUUCACCAACAUUAAGACUGGAAAGUGGACUUACCUGAAGACUCUUUAGUAGUUCACAAACACUCGAGUCCCUUGAGCCAAGAAGUGGACAACGGUGUCUGCCGGUUCUUGGCUGAUCUGGAUGAGAAGCAGAGGGUUAUGGAAUAAAAGAGAUUUGUCAAGGUGGAACCAACUUUUUAUAGGAUUCAGUUACAGAUAGGAAAUAGAAAUAUAACAAGAGCCUAAGAUAUAUAAUAAAAUAAUAGAGCCUAUAGUUUCCAUAGUUCCCACAGAGCGUGUCAGCAGCAGUCCUCCUGCAACCAUCAAACACAGAAUAAAUCAUCAGGUUGCAUUCAUUAAAUGGCAUAUUCAUGAUAUAUUAUAUUAUAUUGAUUGUAUUGAUCGCAACAGAUUUUACAAUUGCAAUAGGAACAGUUAGUGGGAAUGAUCAUUUGUGAAUCCCAAUUUUCAUUUGCUUAUUUUUCUUGAUCACUGAGUAACUAAAGUAGCUGAAAGCUCAAAAGAAACAUUUGCUUGUAAAAAAAAAAAAAAAAAAAAUACAGAAGGAGUGACAUUUAAUAUCUAAUAAAGUCUUUAAAAAUCAAAGACGGAAAAGCUGUUUUAAAGAUGACACUGGUGUCUAGAAUCUGUACAAUUAUUGGAAGAAUAGUGAGACUUAAACAAUUUGUAUCACAACAAAAGGAAAACAAAAACAAAGACAGUGUCACUAUGUUCCUGCCAGAUACAGUAGUGGAAUAAUUCAAUGAGCCAAUAAUCAAUAAUAAUCAGACCCUCUAGUGGCAGCAGAUCUUAUUGGCUCCAAUAAAGGUCAAUCACACACAGCUGGCUCGGUUUCAGUGUUACUGCCGGUACUGCUCCACAAGAGCAACGUUACACUGUUUGAUNNNNNNNNNNNNNNNNNNNNNNNNNNNNNNNNNNNNNNNNNNNNNNNNNNNNNNNNNNNNNNNNNNNNNNNNNNNNNNNNNNNNNNNNNNNNNNNNNNNNGCAGCUAGCGUUAGCUCGCUAACAAUAUAUUUACAUCCACUCACCACAGACAAAAUGAGCACUGCACAGACGAGUGUUUGCAGUUGGUGUUCACGGUGUCACCACCCUGCUCUCUCCCGGCAGCUGAUGUGUGGCUGUCAGAAAGCCUGACAGCGCUGCGCUUCAUUCAACCACAUUGUAGUAACGCAAGUAACGCGCCACUUUACAUUCUCAGUAACGGACGGCGUUGCAACGAUGGGAAAAGUAAUUAAUUAGAUUACUACGUUUACUGAAAAAAUAACGCCGUUAGUAACGCCAUUAUACUUAAACGCCGUUACUCCCAACACUGUUUGCAACAGACUUAGUGAUCUCGCUGAAUCACGUACUGGACAUGGCGGUAGACACGUUAGAAUGUGAGUGACGUCAGGUAAUAUUCAUGAAUAGUCCCUUCUGGGCGGAGGUCUAUAGUCCCUUCUGGGCGGAGGUCUAUAGUCCCUUCUGGGCGGAGGUCUAUAGUCUCAAUGUGGAGAACAACACUGCUG